rnacentral:rRNA from 1 species
CGCGUAGGUGGUAGUGAAAGUCUAUGGUGGAAUCUUAGGGCUUAACCCUAAAACUGCCUUGGAAACUUCAUUACUUGAGUCAGUGAGGGGAGGGUAGAAUUCCUGGUGUAGCGGUGAAAUGCGUAGAUAUCAGGAGGAAGGCCGGUGGCGAAGGCGGCCCUCUGGCGCUGAACUGACGCUGAGGCGCGAAAGCGUGGGUAGCAAACAGGAUUAGAUACCCUGGUAGCCCACGCCCUAAACGGUGGGUACUAGGUGUAGGGCUCGUAAGGGUUCUGUGCCGAAGGGAAACCAUUAACGUACCCCGCCUGGGGAGUACCGGCCGCAAGGUUGAA